AUACCAGCGCAUCAAGUGGUCAGGAGGAUUAUUGGGCCUAAAGCAUCCGUAGCCUGUUCUGUAAGUUUUCGGAUAAAUCCAUUAGCUCAACUAAUGGGCUGCCGAAAAUACUGUAGAACUAGGGAGUGGGAGAGGUAGACGGUAUUCGGUAGGAAGGGGUAAAAUCCUUUGAUCUAUUGAGGACCACCUGUGGCGAAGGCGGUCUACCAGAACACGUUCGACGGUGAGGGAUGAAAGCUGGGGGAGCAAACCGGAUUAGAUACCCGAGUAGUCC
rnacentral:rRNA from 1 species